CUUUGUGGCCAAACCUCCUUGUCAAAGCCUCAGCUUGUCAGAUCUCAGAAGCUAAGCAGGGCUGGGUCUCCUUAGUACUUGGAUGGGAGACCGUUGAGAAUACCAAGUGCUACAGUGG
rnacentral:rRNA from 1 species